rnacentral:lncRNA from 1 species
CUUUGGAUUUCUAAAUAGUUAGAAGAGGCAAAGGUUCUUACUCCUUUUUUUUUUCUUCUCUGAAUAAGCCAGAGAAAGAUUAAAGUAAUUUUGUCCAAGUCAGGAAGAAAAUUGAGAUUAUAUACCAUGUAUCAUGAAUAUACCCACUUUUUUAUUUUGCUGCUACUAUGGAUUUGUGAACAUUACCUUAGACUUAUGCCUCUUCUUCAUGUGAGUUUUAAAAUAUUGGCUGACAGGGUAAUCUAUAGUAGCUUUGAAGUAAGCAAAUA